rnacentral:rRNA from 1 species
ACUCAAAUGAAUUGACGGGGGCCCGCACAAGCAGCGGAGCAUGUGGCUUAAUUCGACGCAACGCGAAGAACCUUACCAAGGCUUGACAUGCAGAGUAAUCCAUCAGAGAUGGUGGGUCCGCAAGGGAUUCUGCACAGGUGGUGCAUGGCUGUCGUCAGCUCGUGUCGUGAGAUGUUGGGUUAAGUCCCGCAACGAGCGCAACCCUCGUUCUAUGUUGCCAGCGCGUAAUGGCGGGGACUCAUAGGAGACUGCCGGGGUCAACUCGGAGGAAGGUGGGGACGACGUCAAGUCAUCAUGCCCCUUAUGUCUUGGGCUGCACACAUGCUACAAUGGCCGGUACAAAGGGCUGCGAAACCGCAAGGUAGAGCGAAUCCCAAAAAGCCGGUCUCAGUUCGGAUUGGGGUCUGCAACUCGACCCCAUGAAGUCGGAGUUGCUAGUAAUCGCAGAUCAGCAACGCUGCGGUGAAUACGUUCCCGGGCCUUGUACACACCGCCCGU